rnacentral:rRNA from 1 species
UUUUGUUUAGAAAAGGAUUAGAAAAUCCAGCCGGCUGAUAAAAAUCGAGCGGACACGUAACCAUCACGUGUACGUCUCUAGAGAGGCCCCUUAUCCAUCCGUCUCCACCUCCACCGAUCUGGUUCUCUCUCGUUCUCUGUCAAUCAUCUCUUUCUCUUUCUCUCUCUCUCUCAUUCCUAUCCAGGCGAGAGUGCGUGCCGGCACCAGCGCCCCUCCCCGCCGACGGUGGCCACCACCACCUGCGUCGUGGCCAGCUCCGUUGCGUGCGCCCCCCUCCCCUCCCCCGGGCUGUUGUCCCCCUGGUAGCAAGAUCAGAUCCGGGGCAGCUGCUCCCCUGGCCGCGCCUUCCCUUCCCAUGACUCCGGCGCGAUCCUCUGAUCUCCACGGGGACCUGCGCCGCCCAAAUUCGCCUCACAUGCAUGUCGUUCCAGUGUGCUGGCGGCGAUCCACGAUCCAGCGCUGUUGGGCUACUUUUCCUCUCCGCCAACAUCCGCGGUGCCGCCAAGUCGGGCCCUGUUCUGUCUCCUCCUCCCUCUGGGAGGCCCGUGUCCGACAGUUGCAGGCUGUCGACUGUCAACGCUGGAUGUGCCAAACCUCCACCCCAUCAGGUGGAGAGUUUGAUCCCGAGCAGUGAUGAUUUUAUUUUUGCCUCCUCUGCUAGGAGGCAGAGGAACGGAGAGUGGCGGCAAGGGCAGCCGCCGGCGCGAUGACGAGAACCUAGGGGUGGACACACGGGAGAUCGGGUGCUCGCGCGAAGCCUCCUGCAGCACGGUCGCCCACGAGCCCACCCGGAGCUGUCGUCCCCGUGAAGGGCGCCGCCCCGCUGCACUGGAAAGGAAGCUGUCUGGAUGAAGAAAGGAUCGCGGGCUGAAUUCUUACGAACAUAAGGGUGUUUCUGUAAAAAUGAAUCGUUUUUGCAGAUUUGCAGAUUCACUUAAACAGGGACUGCGCGUUAAUUUAUCAAAAACGGGGGACCUUUCUGUAAAAACGCCGACGACGUACAAACCAGAAGCAGUCGCUGGUUUAUAUUAUUAUAUAUAUAUAUUAUAUAUAUAUUAUUAUAUAUUA